UACGGGGGGGGCAAGCGUUGUUCGGAAUUACUGGGCGUAAAGGGCUCGUAGGUGGCCAACUAAGUCGGACGUGAAAUCCCUCGGCUUAACCGGGGAACUGCGUCCGAUACUGCGGGUCUCGAGUCCGGGAGAGGUGAGUGGAAUUCCUAGUGUAGAGGUGAAAUUCGUAGAUAUUAGGAAGAACACCAGUGGCGAAGGCGGCUCACUGGCCCGGUACUGACGCUGAGGUGCGAAAGCGUGGGGAGCAAACAGG
rnacentral:rRNA from 1 species